AGUGAAAGGGGAAGAGCCCAGCGCUGAAUCCAUCGAUCACUGGUCGCUUGGAGUUGUAGCGUAUAGGUGCGGCUAUCCGCUCGUUUCGUGCACCCAAAGUCCCCUUGAGCGGGGCCAUAGUCCAAAGAAGGUGCUAGACCUGUACGGGUGGCGAGGCGGUCGGUUGGUCGCUCCUUGGAGUCGGGUUGCCUGGGAUCGCAGCCCAAAGUUGGUGGUAGACCUCAUCUAAGGCUAAAUAUGGCCACGAAACCGAUAGCAAACAAGUACCGUGAGGGAAAGUUGCAAAGAACUUUGAAGAGAGAGUUCAAGAGGGCGUGAAACCGCCGAGAUUGAAACGGAUAGAGUUGACGAAACUCGAUCGCAUUCAUCCGAUCCGCCUAGCGGUUCGGCGGUUGUUGACUUCCUCGAUGAGGGCAACGCCGUCGCUGGCUGUUGGGUGCUAGAUUGGUGUAUUUGCGGUCGGUAUGCGCCGAGAGCUUUGCGAGCGCAUGUUGACGUUGAUGUAGUGGACCACUCCCUCCGGGCGUGGAACCCUGCAUUGAUUGAGGCAUGUCGUUCGUAGGGUGUUGCUGGGUGACGUCUCCGCUAUGGUGGGUCGGCUUUGUUGGGCUGUUGCGGUUGCUGGGUGAUCGCAUGCGAGCGCCUGUAGCUUGCGAUGGUACGAUGAGGUGCGGACGCGCUUGAGACGUGCAUCUCGGUGUGAACGUUGACCACCUAUCCGACCC
rnacentral:rRNA from 1 species